GUGAACCAUAUAAAAUCUGAGAAGCCUCACAAGUUACCUAGUCAACAGCUCAGCAACAAAGAAUGCAUCUUUCUGACUUUAGUUAGGAUUAGAAGACCAGAUUUCCCUCUCAACACACUAAACCAAAUACAACACAUACUUUGUUUCCAGCUGAACAGCAUUCUGGUGCAGUGGAGUCCCUGACUUUUCCAGGCACUUGCCAUGAAGAGAGAGAGAAGAAAGGGGAAAGAGAGGAACAAGAACAUUGGUCAUAAAUCAAGGAAGCAUGUGGCAUAUCCUUCAGAUGAAUCCAUUUGAGCCACUUGUAUUUUUUAGAGUGAGGCAGCAGUCAUAUUUUUAAAAAAUAUAUGAAGGGGAAAUUGCUAACAGUUUUUCACUGAGAAAGGCAUUGAGACUUAUUAAUAGUGGGCACCAUGUUAAUAAAUGUUAUGGUCCUCACCGUAUCCCUGCUCAGCUUCAGAGAUAUAGGCUAGAAAGGUUGAUAUAUAGCCAAACCUACGAUGGAGCAAAAGUUCUUAACAUUAACUACAGAGUGUCAUGGCUUUUUACAGAUUAGGAGACAUGCAUUUGUCAAAGAAGUCUCAAAGGAGGCAGCAAUGAGGGUCAGAUACACAGGCGCGCUGAAUUAAGCCAACCCAUUCCCAGACUACACUACAAAGAAGAGAUGCAUCAUUCUCAUUGUCCUCUAAUAACCUAUGAUCACUGGAUCUGUGAUUCUUACAGUUCAGUCAAUAGCAACUGCUGGUGGCUGGAGUGUGUAUAUGAAGAAGUGCCUCCACCCUCAUCGUUCAGCAUGGACACAAGGUCAAGCUCCGAGGGCCUUAUGGCACCUUCCUCCCUGCGAGGAGAGGUUACAGGGAACCAGGCAGAGGGCCUUCUCAGUAGUGGCACCCGCCCUGUGGAACGCCCUCCCACCAGAUGUCAAGGAAAUAAACAACUAUCUGACUUUUAGAAGACAUCUGAAGCCAACCCUGUAUCGGGGAAUUAUUAAUGUGUAAUGUUUUACAAUUUUUAAUGUGCUGCAAGCCACCCAGAGUGGUUGGGGAAACACAGCCAGAUAGGUGUGGUAUAAAUAAUAAAUUAUUAAUUAUUAUUA